CAUGCAAGUCGAGCGGUAGAGAGGUGCUUGCAUCUCUUGAGAGCGGCGGACGGGUGAGUAAUACCUAGGAAUCUGCCUGGUAGUGGGGGAUAACGUUCGGAAACGGACGCUAAUACCGCAUACGUCCUACGGGAGAAAGCAGGGGACCUUCGGGCCUUGCGCUAUCAGAUGAGCCUAGGUCGGAUUAGCUAGUUGGUGAGGUAAUGGCUCACCAAGGCUACGAUCCGUAACUGGUCUGAGAGGAUGAUCAGUCACACUGGAACUGAGACACGGUCCAGACUCCUACGGGAGGCAGCAGUGGGGAAUAUUGGACAAUGGGCGAAAGCCUGAUCCAGCCAUGCCGCGUGUGUGAAGAAGGUCUUCGGAUUGUAAAGCACUUUAAGUUGGGAGGAAGGGCAUUAACCUAAUACGUUAGUGCUUUGACGUUACCGACAGAAUAAGCACCGGCUAACUCUGUGCCAGCAGCCGCGGUAAUACAGAGGGUGCAAGCGUUAAUCGGAAUUACUGGGCGUAAAGCGCGCGUAGGUGGUUUGUUAAGUUGAAUGUGAAAUCCCC
rnacentral:rRNA from 2 species